rnacentral:rRNA from 1 species
AUUAAACGCUGGCGGCAUGCCUUACACAUGCAAGUCGAACGGCAGCACGGGGGCAACCUUGGUGGCGAGUGGCGAACGGGUGAGUAAAGCAUCGGAACGUGCCCUGGAGUGGGGGGAUAACGUAGCGAAAGUUACGCUAAUACCGCAUAUUCUGUGAGCAGGAAAGCAGGGGAUCGCAAGACCUUGCGCUCUGGGAGCGGCCGAUGUCGGAUUAGCUAGUUGGUGGGGUAAAGGCCUACCAAGGCGACGAUCCGUAGCGGGUCUGAGAGGAUGAUCCGCCACACUGGGACUGAGACACGGCCCAGACUCCUACGGGAGGCAGCAGUGGGGAAUUUUGGGACAAUGGGCGAAAGCCUGAUCCAGCCAUGCCGCGUGAGUGAAGAAGGCCUCGG